AAAAUGGCAGAAUGAAAGAAUUAUGAGUGGGACUAGAGAAUGGGAAAGACAUGAACCAACACCUCAAAUGAGAAAGAAGGAUGUAUAGCUAAGACAAAUACACGUGAAAAAAAUAGACUAAUGGAUUAACGUCUCUGUUGUGUGACAUUAUCUG
rfam:Callithrix jacchus chromosome 1, whole genome shotgun sequence